AGAGUUUGAUCCUGGCUCAGAAUGAACGCUGGCGGCGUGCUUUACACAUGCAAGUUGAGCGAGGCCGGUAGCAAUACCGAGUCGAGCGGCGAACGGGUGAGUAACGCGUGGAUAACCUGCCCUGAGGUGGGGAAUAACCCGGGGAAACUCGGGCUAAUACCGCAUGAUACCGAGAGGUCAAAGAGGGCUCGCAAGGGCUCUUGCCACAGGAGGGGUCCGCGUUCGAUUAGCUAGUUGGUAGGGUAAUGGCCUACCAAGGCGACGAUCGAUAGCCGGCCUGAGAGGGUGAUCGGCCACACUGGAACUGAGACACGGUCCAGACUCCUACGGGAGGCAGCAGUGGGGAAUUUUGCGCAAUGGGCUAACGCCUGACGCAGCAACGCCGCGUGGAGGAUGAAGGUCUUUGGAUUGUAAACUCCUGUCAGCAGGGAAAAAGGGAGGGGACCUAAUACGUCCUUGACUUGAUUGUACCUGCAGAGGAAGCCCCGGCUAACUCUGUGCCAGCAGCCGCGGUAAUACAGAGGGGGCAAGCGUUAUUCGGAAUUAUUGGGCGUAAAGGGCGCGUAGGCGGCUUUUCAAGUGACGGGUGAAAUCCCUCGGCUUAACCGAGGAACUGCCUGUCAGACUGGAAGGCUUGAGACCGGGAGAGGUGAGUGGAAUUCCCAGUGUAGCGGUGAAAUGCGUAGAUAUUGGGAGGAACACCAGUGGCGAAGGCGGCUCACUGGACCGGAACUGACGCUGAGGCGCGAAAGCGUGGGGAGCAAACAGGAUUAGAUACCCUAGUAGUCC
rnacentral:rRNA from 1 species